rnacentral:rRNA from 1 species
AACGAACGCUGGCGGCAUGCCUAACACAUGCAAGUCGAACGAGAACUUCGGGUCUAUUGUCGCAUGGGUGCGUAACCCGGGGGAUCAUGCCCUUGUGUUCGGAAUAACUCCCCGACAGGGGUGCCAUUACCGGAUAAUGUCUUCGGCCGAAAGAUUUAUAGGACUUGAUUGUGCCCGCGUUGGAUUCGCUAGUUCGUAGGGUAAAAGCCGACUACGGCGCGGAUUCAUAGCUUGUUAGUGAGGAUGAUCAGCGACACUGAGACUGAGACGCGGCCGAGACUCCUACGGGAGGGAGCAGUGGGGAAUGUUGGACCAUGGGCGAAGGGCUGAAGCAGCAAUGCCGCGAGAGUGAUGAAGGCCUUAAAGUUGUAAAGCUCUUUUACCCGGGAUGAUAAUGACGGUACCGGGAGAAUAAGCUCCGGCUAACUCCGUG